CUCUAUUUUGACGAUCGAUCGGUAUCGAGUAUCCAGAGAAAAAAAUAAUUCUUUGUAUAAUUCGACUGUAGAAACUAUCUUGUAAGCUAAUCAUAGCGUUAAACUUUCAAAAAAAGAGUGUCACUUUUAAGGAUCCUUCACAGGACAGCCAACUUGCAUGAAUAAAGAUAUCCAGUAUUGCAAAGGAGUACAUACAAAUCGCACACCGCUUUGCCAGGGACUGUAAUUUGAAAGUAUUUGUGGAUCUGUGUUCUAUACAUAACGACCGGAAAUUGGUUCACUUAGGAAGAAUGUAAUUAUAUUAAAUGUACUAUAAAACACGUGGUAUAGUCGUAAUGCAUGGAACAUUAGUAACGUGCCUGCGAACACGACGUGGAUCGUGUGAAUAAAAGUAUGAAUCAUGAAAAAUGUGAAUGUGUUAUGUAAUAGUACAUUGACUUUCGUUUGUAAGUUUCUAUUGGCCAACUUCCGCGGCCAUAUUGUAAGCGAUACUUGAAGUUAAUAUUCGAUCGAAGUACAUUGGUUUAGUCAACCUUAUCAUAGUGACCAUUCUCCAUAAAUAAAAUAGUAGAAUCGACAAAAGAGAUAAUGAAGUUACGCGAACCACGUCGUAUCAUAAAUGCAAUCAAAGGUAUGGUACUAUUUGCUUGCAUGUAAGCAUAGUUAGCCGAAAGAUCAGCAAAAUGUUUGUGAAGUACAAAGAAGAUGAGCCCUUGAGGUUAUCAGGGCAGCAAAUGGUACUGAUUAAAUAGCAGAUUUUUAAUUCAGAUCCAUUCAAAAGGACGGACAAAUGCCCUGUGAAAUUAGGGGAAAUAUCCCUGUCAAGCAAUAAAAGAAAGAUCUCGAUCGAGCUAUGUCCAUUAUCAAUGAAUGUCGCAACAAAGAAUCUCAUUUCGAUGAAAAACUUCCGAUUAUAUUCAAUUAUUUCAUUUUCAUAAUUACUUUAGAUCUUAUUAGAUCUUGUUUCCAGAGAAUAUUUAGUAGUAUUUCAAAUUUAAUAAUGUUCAUAGCUGUAGCUAUUUUUGGUAUAUUAAUGAAUUGUAUUUUUAUUUUAGGUUUAUUAAAUAUUGUCUUUUAUCGAAACGAGAAAGACCGAUUGAUUUAUCGCAAUUUCUAUAAUUUUCGAAGAAAUGGAAAACAACAGGGUAAAAUCGUGAGAUACGAAGUAACAGAGCGCAAAAAUGCAGCGUGCCACUGAAAAGGUUAAGAGGAAUUCUUUAUUAUCGAUUUAUCGAUAAGCGAUAGCAAGCUCUCGACACCAGUGGUGAUCUCUGAAGGAACUCCUUUCACAAAAUAUGACUAUAUUUUGUGAAAUCCCCAAAAUUAUAAUAGUAUCUUAGUGAUAAUAGUUUUAGCAACAAUUAUUUUUUCGUGUAAGUAGUAUUUAACGUGCGUAGUGAUUAACAAAGUUGUCAUUAGUUAAUUUAAAACAAAGCUAUUGCUAUAUAUAUUUACUAUAAUGAACAAAUAUAGUACUAAUAAUUUUAUAGUUGUUACUAAUGGAAACGAAGUGCUACGUUGUUUGUAAUCCAAGAUAAAGAAACACAGUGCUACGUUGGUAAAACGGAUACUGUGCGUCCCUAAUUAUUUACAAAUCUAACUGAAGUAGUUCUAGAACAUGGUCUAUUAAAACUAAUUUCAAACGUCUAGUAUUUAAAAUAAAGGAAAUUAACUUCUAAUCAAACGUCACCAGGUGUCGAGAUCCACAAAGAAAGAGAAAUAGUUUGAGAAACAGAAGCGGACAAACAAUAGCUCGUGCGCGCGCGCGCUAUCAUAGAAGUGUUCUAUGGCUGUGUGUGUGCAUUAGGGGAUAUUCAUACGUGACUAGAGGAUGUCGCAGACGCAUAAAUCAGCGAGAAAAGGGGGAAAUCGGGACCUGUCGAUAUGUACCACUAGUAAAAAAAAAUCCCUAACCUUUCCAUUGCUUAAGAUUUCUGAUCGAGUCAGAAGGAAAAUGAAAAGGCUAGGAAAGAUUAGCACUACCAACUUAUAAAAUAAAAAUAGAAGACAAAAGGGGUAGAAAGAAGGCGUGUAAAACGAAAAGCGUGUGAAAGAAACAGAGAGACAGAGAUAGUAUUAGACAGAGAUAGAAAUUCUGUAUGUGUGUAUGUCUGUGUAAAGGUAUGCCUGCAUGUAUAUGUUAUAUGUAUAUGUGUGUGAACAUAGAGUAAAAACAGUUACAGUAGACAGUUACAGACAGACAGACAGACAGACAGAUAGAAAUAAGAUAAAGAUCUAGCGAAAGUGUGAAAGAUAGAGCAGAGAGGAGCGCUUACAGCUUGGUCUGUCGAACUCUUGCUGUAGGGUACUGGUAUCAAACGUUCCUGCAACUCGCCACCUAUUACCUUCAAGAGUAAAGGAUAAUAUCAUGGUUAUAACUGGAUACAACGAGCAGUUAAUGCACUUAACAGUACACCAUUUCUCGAAAUAUCGGUGUACUAAAAAAAGUAAUUCUUUUUUAACAUUCCUGAACCUUUUUCCCGGUAUUGAAUAACACCACGUUCUCUGCCUAUAGGCACCUUUUAACUGAUGAAAUUAUCUCUUUGAAAUUUCCCUAGGAAUAAAUCCAAAGCUAUAUUUAUAGUUACCAUCCCUCAUGGAGAUUUUGUUUAGCAGAUUAUGCGAGAAACGAUUGAACUGGCCUCCAGGAUACCAAUUUACUAUUUUAGAAACUACUUUGUUUGGUGUUUUGUAAGGAGUAUUUACAACAGAAACAGAUAUUUAGAGAUAGUGAAGCUAAAAAGUGCCUGAUCAUCGAUAACUAUUGAGAAAGAAGUACACAUAAAAGUGGUAACCUGCUGGUUAUGUAUAAUCAUUAUGUAUAUGUUAUUCGCGUGAAUAUUAUUGGAUGUGUAAAACUCGCGGCACUCGAUCGCACGAAGUAUAUGGAAAAAGGAAAUAAAAAAGAUAACAGAGAUUUAAAAGUGGAAACCGAGAAUAGCUCAUACAUGCAACGUAAGAUAUAAUAUCCUUGAAGAUAUACACCCUCGUACGAUAUGUUUUCCAUUUAUCAUUUCCAAACGAAAACUGUUGUAAGAAAUGCCUAGCAAUGUAUGUAUUUUCCUUGUCCCAUUGUAUGUUGAUAUUAACGUAACAGGUGAAAAUCCUACGAAGAACGAUUCCUAUUACAGUGUCAAAUUAAUUAAUUAGCCCAGUGAGAGACGAAUUUCAUAGGUUCCAUUUAUCUCUGCACUUCGAACUUCUCGAGACCUACCCGGUGAGUUGCAAAGUCACGCAUAUACAACAAUGAUCUUUAUUACAUGAAGUAAUAAUAAUAGAGUAUCUUCUGAAUAGCAUCACGAAAUGGUGAAAGUCUAGGACAAUGAGCGAGUAGAAUAAAUCCGAGAUUAGAGUUUAGAAAGUUCCGUAGAGACUCAAUCUCAAACAUAGUAAAGUACUGCGCAUCUAGUUGUAUGCAUCCCAGUAGAGUAUCGCGUGUUUAGUUGCAUAUAGAACACCGUGACGUUCACUAACAAAGUAGUCUACGGUAGAAUAAUCAAUGACUGGCACAGUACCAGCUAGUAGUAAGGAGUAGUCAGAUGGACCGCAGCGAAAUAUUAAAUUUAACUUCGUUUUGGAGUGCAUCAAAUUUGUCACUUUUUUAAUAACGUAUCAUACUUUUUGGUGAGUAGAAUUUAAAAAUAUUAGUUACAUCAUUAUGAGUUAUUCAUAUAGAGCUCCAUUUUUGGAAAAAAAUUGAGAUUGUAUAUCUGUUAAGUUUACGCGCAUGCCACUAACCGUAGUCUAGAAUUACUUUAUCCAGUUUAACUAACUACUGUUACCUCUAUCAAUCAGGAUUUUGUUUGUAUAUCUCUCAAAACAAUAAUAUCCCCGUCUUAGAACUGAAGUUUUUUAAUUCUACUCGCCAAAAGCUUAUCAUAUGUUGUGAAAAAAGAUCACAAAUUCGGUAUGUCCCAAAACAUUCAACCAAAUAUUCUAUAUUAGAGUUCAUGUACAUUAGUGUCUUAAGGCCAUCGAAGAGUAACCUCGAUAACAGUGCUGUCCAUCAGUAGCAGGAUUUCUAAAUAUACCUUCAAAUGAUUUAUAUUUAUGUAACAUCCUUUGUUUGAUUAUAUCCAUAGAGAGUACUGACAAGGUUUAGCUGUAAAAUCUGGGGAUGCCUCAGAUAUAUUUAUGUAUAACAAAUUCCUGUAUCAUUAUAAUAUAUAAUUCUUAUAAGAUAUAAUUUUUCAAAAGAACUGUAACGGUCAACUUGCGAAUAAAGUUUUGACACCGUUACUUUAAUUUAGUGCUCACACUCUGAAACAAAGGUAUUUCUCUCCUUCCUAGGGAAUUUUACACCGCAAGUGGCUCAGUUACAUGUUACGCCAUAAAAGUGGGGGGUGACUACUCGAAAAUGACCUUGAAGAACCAACAUUUGAGAACUCUAGGAUAGAAUUAAUUAGACGUAUCUUAUUAGUGAUACGUUUAAUAACUGAUCUACUGUGCAGGAUUCCAUCGACUGAUUUUUCUUCUUUUUACUGUAUUACAAAGUGCAAAAGCAUUAGUACGGCCUUUGAAAAUAAAAUCAGGCUCUGGAAUCCCCGUAAAAUAAAUCGAUUUGCGAGCGAGAGUGGUGACUUACGAAACAUACGAAUAGAAAUGUUAGGUGAGCGUGAGGAAAAACAGAAUAAAGUGAAAGCUGAUGUGCCUUGGUUCACAGCCGGAAAUAGUGCUCUUGAGUACCUUUCCGGAAAUGCAUUUGUUUCGAAGCUUCACAUAGUACUGGUGAUACAACCAUUAUUUUUUCAAUGCAAAUAGAGA